rnacentral:rRNA from 1 species
GACGGAGGGCGCAAGCGUUGUUCGGAAUUACUGGGCGUAAAGCGCGGGCAGGCGGUCUGUUAAGUCGUUUGUGAAAAUCCGGGGCUCAACCCCGGAAAUGCGUACGAUACUGGCAGGCUGGAGACUGGUAGAGGCUAGCGGAAUUCCCGGUGUAGAGGUGAAAUUCGUAGAUAUCAGGAGGAACACCGGUGGCGAAGGCGGUUCUCUGGGCAUUACCUGACGCUGAGGAGCGAAAGUGUGGGGAGCGAACAGG